CCUAAUAAUUCCCGCCAAUUUUUACAUUAUUGUAAUAAAAAAUACCGUAGACUUCCGAAAAGCAUAACAUUUAUGUAAACACCCGAGAGAGCCGAAAAUAUAUUUUCCGAUAGGUGUCGCUUUAGGACUUUCAUUUUCAAAUGUAGGGCCUCGAUUCGUUCUAUUUCAAAAAUGUCGAGUUUGUUUUAUGGAUUACAAUAGUUAUAGAGGUUAUUUAAGGUAACAAAUAUAUGUCAUUGGAGAGAUAAUUCAAGUGGGAACAUAUUUAUUCAGGUCACAAAGUAAGUGAAAGUCUUAGAAAAAAUUUACAACAAUAAUUUGAAGCAUUGUCGCAAAUUAGCUUCCUCCCUUGUGUUUUUUUAGGGGUUCGUAUGGAUAGUAAACCCGGCAAUUGUAACAAGCCCCUGUGGUUGAACGCUUUGAAAUCAUGAUAUGACGUACGUUAACUCUGUAUUAUUAUACUUGAAGAGCAGGGUUCAUUUACAAAAAAGUUCGUUUACUAUACAAAAUAGUUCAUUUAAUACAAAAUUAUCAACGUGUGUACAAACCGUAGUAUUUUGUGUAAACGGACGUUGUAUUCUAUGUAGGGAUGGCCUUUUGUGAUCCGUAGAUCAGGAAGAUUAUGUUAACGAUGCCUUCGACCAGCAUUGCUAUAUUAUUUAUAUCUGACAUGAACCAAAGGUGACAAAAGCCUGUGAAGUGGAGAAUAUUUGGCAGUAAAAUCGCCCAAGUUUUCCAUACAGAUCAUUUAUAAAUGCGAUGUAAAAUAUGUGAGUUCAAGUCUUGUAGCAUUUUUAUUAGAAACAUAGGCACACACGGAAAUUUAAACACUCUAGGGACUUUUUCUACUAGUAAUGUAUGUCUGCCCGGACAUAUUUUACCUGGACAAAGUUAUCUCUCACAGAAAACCUUUAGGUAGAGGUAAGCGCAAAAGGUACGUAGUACAGAAUAUUAGUGCAAGCUAAAACUCUUCAAAGUUCCAGGCAUAUUUAAACGUUGAAAAUAUGCGGCACAGCUCUAUAUUUUGAUAUUUGAAAACAAAAUAGUAGUGCAUAUGAAUUAACUUCACAUUCUACAUGAUACUUUUUUUCGAAGCGUAGUCC
rnacentral:lncRNA from 1 species